UGAAUUAGCAAUGCCAAGAGA
rnacentral:piRNA from 1 species